AAAUAUUUUAAUGCGUUUUUAAAAUAAAUUUCUUUUGUGUUUUAUAACAACGUUCCUUAUAUAUAAAAAAGUCAUUUAAGUCGUAAAUGUUGAGUUUGCAAAAAGAGUUAAUAAAUAAUAGUAAUAAAUAAUAUGAUCUAAACAGUCCCUAACGAUCUGUCCCGUAAUACAUGGAUCUAGCUUAUCAGAAGUACAAAAUUCAAAAGUAUACUUAACGACGUUACUUUAAAUAAAAGUAUUUUAGUACUAUUAUGAAUUAUACAUGUAUGUAUAAACUAAGGUAUAAACAUAGUUUAGACAUGUAUAUAUAUACAUAUAGUUUAGAUAAAAUUUACGUAUAAAUUGAACGAAAUAUAUUACAGAACUGCGCACUACAGAGUCAAUAUCGAGUUAUUGAGUAAAUAUAAAGUAUUAUAACGUAUGUGUAGAUAUGUGUGCCAUAUUUACUGCUAAUCAAUUGUCGUCACUUUUUGAAUUAUCAAGAAGAAAAUGAUCGAAAUUUUGUGAGGUAGAAUUUAAAUGUAAAAGUAUAAAAUUCACAAAUUUUCCGAAUACCAAUAUCUCAUGAAUCUUUAAUUUUCAAGGGUAAAAAAGAAAUCUUCUCGAAAAUAUUUCUCGAUUUUUUCGCAGUAGUAAACACUUUGAAUUAAUAACGAUGAGGGUGCCGGAAGAAUUUUUUUUCAUGCUGACAGGUAAAAAAUUCUAGUAUUUAGUCUUUCGCGUUUAGCGACAUAUGCGAUAUUUUGUGUUUCACGUUCAGCACUAAGUAAUGUCUCAUUACGCGAAAAUAACGAGCGCAAUGGACGUGAGUGGCGUGACGGAAAAAUGAGACUCAGAAUCCUACUUAAUCACUCGCGUUAAAUGCACGAUAAUACGCGAGUGAAAGAGAGACAAGAGGAGCAGGAGGGGGAGAAUAUAAUGACAAUUGCGGUAUGGAACGUAUUUUAAAUUAUUUUCCGAGGAGAGGAAAGACGGUUUCUGAGCAUGCAUCAAUAUUAUUUAAUUGCUUGUCAAUUUAAUUUGUGUAAAUUACACAUUCUGGUUUCAUGUAAAAACUGUAUGUUAACAUUGACAAAAUUGCAGCGUGCAAUUCACGUGAGCUGGAGAUGGUAA